rnacentral:rRNA from 1 species
AACGAACGCUGGCGGCAUGCCUAACACAUGCAAGUCGAACGAAGGCUUCGGCCUUAGUGGCGCACGGGUGCGUAACGCGUGGGAAUCUGCCCUUUGGUUCGGAAUAACAGCUGGAAACGGCUGCUAAUACCGGAUGAUGACGAAAGUCCAAAGAUUUAUCGCCAGAGGAUGAGCCCGCGUUGGAUUAGGUAGUUGGUGGGGUAAAGGCCUACCAAGCCGACGAUCCAUAGCUGGUCUGAGAGGAUGAUCAGCCACACUGGGACUGAGACACGGCCCAGACUCCUACGGGAGGCAGCAGUGGGGAAUAUUGGACAAUGGGCGCAAGCCUGAUCCAGCAAUGCCGCGUGAGUGAUGAAGGCCCUAGGGUUGUAAAGCUCUUUUACCCGGGAAGAUAAUGACUGUACCGGGAGAAAAAGCCCCGGCUAACUCCGUG